UGAGGCCAGAAGUGACUCAAGUCCUGAUC
rnacentral:piRNA from 1 species